rnacentral:hammerhead_ribozyme from 1 species
AUCCAGCUGACAAGUUCCAAAUAGAACGAAAUGUAUGUUAUGGAU